rnacentral:rRNA from 1 species
CAGUCGCGCGGUAACACGAAGGGUGCAAGCGUUACUCGGAAUUACUGGGCGUAAAGCGCGCGUAGGCGGUUACUCAAGUCAGAGGUGAAAGCCCGGGGCUCAACCCCGGAACUGCCUUUGAAACUAGGUGACUAGAAUCUUGGAGAGGUCAGUGGAAUUCCGAGUGUAGAGGUGAAAUUCGUAGAUAUUCGGAAGAACACCAGUGGCGAAGGCGACUGACUGGACAAGUAUUGACGCUGAGGUGCGAAAGCGUGGGGAGCAAACAGGAUUAGAGACCCCCGUAGUCCCUGUCUCUUAUACA